AACGAACGCUGGCGGCAUGCCUAACACAUGCAAGUCGAACGAGACCUUCGGGUCUAGUGGCGCACGGGUGCGUAACGCGUGGGAACCUGCCCUUAGGUUCGGAAUAACUCCCCGAAAGGGGUGCUAAUACCGGAUAAUGUCUUCGGACCAAAGAUUUAUCGCCUUUGGAUGGGCCCGCGUUGGAUUAGCUAGUUGGUAGGGUAGAAGCCUACCAAGGCUAGGAUCCAUAGCUGGUCUGAGAGGAUGAUAAGCCACACUGGGAAUGAGAUACGGCCCAGACUACUACGGGAGGCAGCAGUGGGGGAUAGUGCAGAAUGGGCGGAAGACUGAUGCAGCAACGACGCGUGCGGGAUGAAGGACUUCGGGAUGUAAACCGCUUUCGCCUGUGACGAAGCGUGAGUGAGGGUAAUGGGUAAAGAAGAACGGGCUAAAUACGUG
rnacentral:rRNA from 1 species